rnacentral:pre_miRNA from 1 species
CAUCUACUCCCUCCGUUUCGAAUUACUUGUCGCAGGUAUGGAUGUAUCUAGAUGUAUUGUAGUUCUAGAUACAUCUACUUCUGUGAGGAGUAAUUUAGAACGAAGGGAGUAGAUA